UGCUAUUUAACUUAUUAAAAAGCCUUGUUUUUACUAUAACUCUGUUGGGUUCUAUGUCAGUUUCAUUGCUGAUAUGAACAAUUAAGAUUACUGGACAAUGUGUUACUGUCAACGUAGCUAGAGUUCUAACCAGCUGAAGCUAGCAGAUGCUAUUUUUUAUUUCAAAUCAACUUAAGGAUGGUCGGACCGUGGCAAUGCAUUUUUCUAUUGGUUAAAUGGUGGAUCAUCAAUCUUACAUGACAAUAAUAUUCUCUGUUGUAGGCAAUGUGAGAUAUGUGGUUCUCGAACAAUAUAGAGCUGCCAAGGUGGCACUAAAACAGCAUAUGCAUAAAUCAUCUUUUUAGAGGGAACAAGGUUUGAUGAACCAAGAUGUUGAUUAUGGAUGUUCUAAUGAAAUUCAGCUGUGAGCUUGCUUAUUGACGUUGAAGUUUGUCUGAAGUAGUCACUCAAGAAUAAUGUGGAGCACUCCCCAGUAGCACAAGUGACCUUUACAUACUUGUGAACUAUCCAUAAGCAACUCCAGAUCCACAACACUAUCUAGGAGUCCCGGAAGCACCAGAAUACUUGCAUGUUGCUGUUGGAGGCGGUGAAGCUGUAAUAUCUACUCACAUAGUUCUCGCAUCCUAAUCAUCUCUAGCAUAUAUGUGGUUCUCGAACAAUAUAGAGCUGCUAAGGUGGCACUGAAACAGCAUAUGCAUAAAUCAUCUUUUUAGAGGGAACAAGGUUUGAUGAACCAAGAUGUUGAUUAUGGAUGUUCUAAAGAAAUUCAGCUGUGAGCUUGCUUAUUGGUGUGUUUAUCUACUUGAUGCUUGGUUUAUUUGUCUACUCACCAGGGUGUUUUUGGCAAGAGCCUUGUAAGUGCAGCUAAUUAGUGGCAUAAUAAAAAGACAAUUUGCCAAACUGUAUGAACCAACAACACUUUAUAAUAUUAAAUCUAUGUAUAUACUUAAUUUGGAUGAGAAGGAAUAGUUACAGUUUAAAAUGGUCAAGAGAACAACAGAUUAAUAUCAUUCUUGAAAGUCGAAUGAAUAUUUUAAAAUGAAUAAAUCUACGGAUCACCACUGAGCUUCCGCUGUCAUUAUGUCCUGCAAAGAAGUUAUAAAAGGUAAGUGAUACUUUUGAUUUGACUAAUAUAAUUAUUUAGUCAGAAGGAGAACAAAUGCAAGUGUUUCAUGUGCAAAUUUUAAUAUUUUUAGAAAUUUCCAAAUUUAGAUUAAAAAAGAACUUUUAUUUAAAGAAUAACUUUGUAAUUUCAUUUUUGGAGAGUUGUGUGUGAAUGUUUAAUU